AUCGCUUCUCGGCCUUUUGGCUAAGAUCAAGUGCAGAAAGAUAUCCACUUAUAUCAGUAUAAU
rnacentral:snRNA from 1 species